rnacentral:rRNA from 1 species
GAUGAACGCUGGCGGCGUGCCUAAUACGUGCAAGUCGAGCGAACAGACGAGGAGCUUGCUCCUCUGACGUUAGCGGCGGACGGGUGAGUAACACGUGGAUAACCUACCUAUAAGACUGGGAUAACUUCGGGAAACCGGAGCUAAUACCGGAUAAUAUAUUGAACCGCAUGGUUCAAUAGUGAAAGACGGUUUUGCUGUCACUUAUAGAUGGAUCCGCGCCGCAUUAGCUAGUUGGUAAGGUAACGGCUUACCAAGGCAACGAUGCGUAGCCGACCUGAGAGGGUGAUCGGCCACACUGGAACUGAGACACGGUCCAGACUCCUACGGGAGGCAGCAGUAGGGAAUCUUCCGCAAAGGGCGAAAGCCUGACGGAGCAACGCCGCGUGAGUGAUGAAGGUCUUCGGAUCGUAAAACUCUGUUAUUAGGGAAGAACAAAUGUGUAAGUAACUAUGCACGUCUUGACGGUACCUAAUCAGAAAGCCACGGCUAACUACGUG